AUUGAACGCUGGCGGCAUGCCUUACACAUGCAAGUCGAACGGCAGCACGGGUGCUUGCACCUGGUGGCGAGUGGCGAACGGGUGAGUAAUACAUCGGAACAUGUCCUGUAGUGGGGGAUAGCCCGGCGAAAGCCGGAUUAAUACCACAUACGAUCUACGGAUGAAAGCGGGGGACCUUCGGGCCUCGCGCUAUAGGGUUGGCCGAUGGCUGAUUAGCUAGUUGGGGGGGUAAAGGCCUACCAAGGCGACGAUCAGUAGCUGGUCUGAGAGGACGACCAGCGACACUGGGACGUGGACACGGCCCAGACUCCUAAGGGAGGGAGCAGUUGGGAAUUUUGGACAAUGGGGGAAAGGCUGAUCCAGCAAUGCCGCGUGUGGGAAGAAGGCCUUCGGGUUGUAAAGCACUUUUGUCCGGAAAGAAAUCCUUGGCCCUAAUACGGUCGGGGGAUGACGGUACCGGAAGAAUAAGCACCGGCUAACUACGUG
rnacentral:rRNA from 1 species